GGCCGAUGCGCCUCGCCUGCGCCUUGCGUCUUUGACAACAUAGGUACUAUGUUACUAACCUACCUUAUGUUGUUUUUUUCAAAAUGCUCCCUACUAUCAGGCCUCGUUUAGUGGAUAUAUGCGAGUAUAUGGGGAUCCAACCUUACGGAAUAGACACACACUUGCGAUACAUGCUGCACAAAAUAUUACAAUGGUGUCUUUUUUGUAUUCAUUAAAAUAGUUGCUAAAAUGUUGGUACAUCAAUACUUAAUAGGGAGAGACAGAGUCCGAAUUUUUAAAUAUUGAGUUAUUUUAUGAUGCUGACUUAAAAAGCCUGAGACGCAGUAUGUAUGUGCAUACAUACUACAUCUUAAUCUCAUCCGAAUUUUAGGAAACUUCGGCAAAUAGCGGCUGAACCAGAAGCACACGGUUGGCCCUUUAUCUGCUCACUUAGUCAUUGCUCCGUAAUUUGGUUAUUACACAUGCUAAGAAGGAACUUGGUCUUGCAUUCAAGGGUAGUCAAAAGAUGGUGACUGAAGCACCAGAGGGAUCAGGAUAAGAAAGUGUGAUGUUUGGACUUGACAUCUCUACUCGCACUUCCUGUCGAUUAGUUGCCAAGGGGGCCUUGGAGCGUGUUUUCAAAGCAACACAUGAGUAGCUUGUCGCCUACAAGGAUCAAGUAGGAUGUGUUAUUUUUGUAUUUUGUUCGUCCAAUGAGUCUUUUUUAGCUUUUUGUGCCCUCAUUUGGCAGUUAAUUAUAU
rnacentral:lncRNA from 1 species